AAGCAUCCGCUGAUAGGCUGGGAACAUCUCAUUUUGCUCUCUGGCUUGCAUUAAGAUGCAACAGCAAUUUCCUCGCGCUUUCUGCCUGCCUGAUAAACAUGGCAAUUCAGAUUGAAUAGGGGAAAACAGUU